rnacentral:rRNA from 1 species
UACGAAGGGGGCUAGCGUUGCUCGGAAUUACUGGGCGUAAAGGGAGCGUAGGCGGGUCGUCAAGUUGGGGGUGAAAGCCCAGGGCUCAACCCUGGAACUGCCUUCAAAACUGGCGACCUAGAGUAUGGUAGAGGUGUGUGGAACUCCGAGUGUAGAGGUGAAAUUCGUAGAUAUUCGGAAGAACACCAGUGGCGAAGGCGACACACUGGGCCAUUACUGACGCUGAGGCUCGAAAGCGUGGGGAGCAAACAGGG